rnacentral:rRNA from 1 species
UACGGAGGGUGCAAGCGUUAUCCGGAUUUAUUGGGUUUAAAGGGUCCGUAGGCGGACUCGUAAGUCAGUGGUGAAAUCUCAUAGCUUAACUAUGAAACUGCCAUUGAUACUGCGGGUCUUGAGUAAAGUAGAAGUGGCUGGAAUAAGUAGUGUAGCGGUGAAAUGCAUAGAUAUUACUUAGAACACCAAUUGCGAAGGCAGGUCACUAUGUUUUAACUGACGCUGAUGGACGAAAGCGUGGGGAG